rnacentral:rRNA from 1 species
UACGAAGGGGGCUAGCGUUGCUCGGAUUGACUGGGCGUAAAGGGCGCGUAGGCGGUUCGUACAGUCAGACGUGAAAUUCCUGGGCUCAACCUGGGGGCUGCGUUUGAUACGUGCGGACUUGAGUGCGGAAGAGGGUCGUGGAAUUCCCAGUGUAGAGGUGAAAUUCGUAGAUAUUGGGAAGAACACCAAUUGCGAAGGCAGCUUACUACACAGUUAUUGACGCUGAGGCACGAAAGCGUGGGGAGCAAACAGGG